rnacentral:rRNA from 1 species
AGUGAACGCUGGCGGUAGGCCUAACACAUGCAAGUCGAACGGCAGCACAGUAAGAGCUUGCUCUUACGGGUGGCGAGUGGCGGACGGGUGAGGAAUACAUCGGAAUCUACUUUUUCGUGGGGGAUAACGUAGGGAAACUUACGCUAAUACAGCAUACGACCUACGGGUGAAAGCAGGGGAUCUUCGGACCUUGCGCGAUUGAAUUAGCCGAUGUCGGAUUAGCUAGUUGGCGGGGGAAAGGCCCACCAAGGCGACGAUCCGUAGCUGGUCUGAGAGGAUGAUCAGCCACACUGGAACUGAGACACGGUCCAGACUCCUACGGGAGGCAGCAGUGGGGAAUAUUGGACAAUGGGCGCAAGCAUGAUCCAGCCAUAGCGCGUGGGUGGAGAAGGCCUUCGGGUUGUAAAGCCCUUUUGUUGGGAAAGAAAAGCAGCAGGUUAAGACCCCGCUGUUCUGACGGUACCCAAAGAAUAAGCACCGGCUAACUUCGUG